UACGUAGGGGGCGAGCGUUGUCCGGAUUUAUUGGGCGUAAAGAGCUCGUAGGCGGUUCGAUAAGUCGGAUGUGAAAUCUCCACGCUCAACGUGGAAGGGCCAUUCGAUACUGUCGUGACUCGAGUCCGGUAGGGGAGUGUGGAAUUCCCGGUGUAGCGGUGAAAUGCGCAGAGAUCGGGAGGAACACCCGUACGCGAAGGCGGAGCACGUCCUGG
rnacentral:rRNA from 1 species